rnacentral:lncRNA from 1 species
ACAUGAGCAAAGUCAAAGGCUCGGUUCUUUUAGACCAGAUGGGGGGAGAGGCCCUACAACGUCCUAAUGUGCCCCCACAGCCAUGUUAGGAACAGGAGGAAAACCUCAUCCUGACAUGAGCAAAGUCGAAGAUCCAGUUCUUUUAGACCGGAUGGGGGGAGAGGCCCUCGCAAUGAUCUUUAUGUGCCACCACAGCCCCGUUGGGAACAGAAGGAGAACCUCGUCCUAACCUGAGCUGAGAUCGACUACGUCAAGAAUAGAAGGAGGACCUCGUCCUGACAAUGACAAAAACCCAGUCACCCAACA